rnacentral:rRNA from 1 species
CCUACGGGUGGCAGCAGUGGGGAAUAUUGGGCAAUGGGCGCAAGCCUGACCCAGCAACGCCGCGUGAAGGAAGAAGGCCUUCGGGUUGUAAACUUCUUUUAAGAGGGAAGAGCAGAAGACGGUACCUAUCGAAUAAGCCACGGCUAACUACGUGCCAGCAGCCGCGGUAAUACGUAGGUGGCAAGCGUUGUCCGGCUUUACUGGGUGUAAAGGGCGUGAAGCCGGGAAGAAAAGUCAGAUGUGAAAUCCCGGGGCUCAACCGCGGAACUGCAUUUGAAACUGGUUUUCUUGAGUACCGGAGAGGGCAGCGGAAUUCCUGGUGUAGCGGUGAAAUGCGUAGAUAUAAGGAAGAACACCGAUGGCGAAGGCAGAAGACUGGACGGCAACUGACGGUGAGGCGCGAAAGCGUGGGGAGCAAACAGGAUUAGAUACCCCGGUAGUC